AAAACUAGCCAGUCUUUUGGGUAUGAAACCCAUUUGGGUGAGAGUAGUACUAGGAUGGGUGACCUCCUGGGAAGUCCUCGUGAAAGGGUUUC
rnacentral:rRNA from 1 species